rnacentral:rRNA from 1 species
UGGGGAAUAUUGCACAAUGGGCGCAAGCCUGAUGCAGCCAUGCCGCGUGUAUGAAGAAGGCCUUCGGGUUGUAAAGUACUUUCAGCGGGGAGGAAGGGAGUAAAGUUAAUACCUUUGCUCAUUGACGUUACCCGCAGAAGAAGCACCGGCUAACUCCGUGCCAGCAGCCGCGGUAAUACGGAGGGUGCAAGCGUUAAUCGGAAUUACUGGGCGUAAAGCGCACGCAGGCGGUUUGUUAAGUCAGAUGUGAAAUCCCCGGGCUCAACCUGGGAACUGCAUCUGAUACUGGCAAGCUGGAGUCUCGUAGAGGGGGGUAGAAUUCCAGGUGUAGCGGGGAAAUGCGUAGAGAUCUGGAGGAAUACCGGUGGCGAAGGCGGCCCCCUGGACGAAGACUGACGCUCAGGUGCGAAAGCGUGGGGAGCAAACAGG